UCUCUAAGCAAUGGAUGUCUUGGCUCCUCACACGAUGAAGAACGUGGCAUAAUGUGUUAAGUAACCGGAGUUGCAAACAUCAUGACAGGUUAAUCUUUGAAUGCAAAUUGCGCUAAACUCGAUCUCGGUCGAGAAGCAUGGGUGUGACAGUAC